UCCGGUCGUCGGCGAAGCUGCACGCGUUCGUCGCUUCUUUGCGCGCAAGUCUUUCGUUUUUUUACCGCCACACGGCUACGAUCGCCUGUCAUCAGUUGGAGCGAAAGGUUCGUUCCCAAGCGAGUAAAAUCCACAUACAAUAUACACCAGACGUGUGAUAUAUCGCUAAACACCUGUUACUAUCAUGGGCAAGGUCGUGGUACUAGUUCUCAGCAUCGUUAUCUGUCUAGCCACUCAGCAGGCGAUGGCAAAGGAAAAACACAUCAAGUACACCGAGAAAGAUCUGCUGCGAAAGUCGAUCGUGUACGACAAAAACACACCGGAUGUAUUCUACUGCCCCGUCAACAAACCGACCGGAAUGGAUAAGAUGAUUGUGAGGUCACGUCCACUCCACAAACUCUGUGAACACGAGGGUAAACCACUUCCUUCGCACUACAAAUCGGACUGCUACAACGACGUCGACGAGUCCAACUAUGCCUGCAAGGAGAAGUACAGAAUCAUGAAACGGUUCGCCAAAGAUAAUGUCGAGAUCUAAGGCAGAAUCUCUUCAAGUUGUUGGUGAUCUACACGCAACGACUUUCUCGUGCGAGCGAUAAUGUUUAGACCUUACUAUGCGCUGAAAACUAUAUCCAUUUUCAAGACUCAAAACUGUACAGAGCUCUGAAGACGCUGUUAAACUUUGAACGACUUUCUUAGCCUUUCUUAUUCUCUUCUCUUUGUCUUUUAUCAAUUUCUGCUGUAGAACAUAUUGUGUCCUCGCGAUAAUGCGUGUGAAUUGCGAUUAACAUUUUGCUUCGAUAAUUUUCUUCCAAUCUUCCUUUUCGUUUUUCCGCCCAAAUACUGCCUUAGCCAAUUUUUAUUCAAUUACACCUAAUACCAAAUCAUUAAGUAAGACACCCAAAAACGUAAAUAUCUAAAUAAGAAACAUUAUUUUCAUUUUAACGGUUACCAAACGACGAACAUGUGCACUUUCGUUCGUCAAAAGAGUGUUGCUGCUAACCAUUUCAUUUACUUAUAUUCAUUUAACACACUAAUAGCACACAAACCAUUCCGGGUGAAAACGGUUAAGGUACAUGAAAUGUGGCAAAUGUUUGAACUGUCUUAUGUUACUAACCAUUUUUCUCGGUCGCUCCUAUGCAUUGGACAAUAUAUUCUGCUGGUGGUUUCACAAUUAAUCCUAAUUGUAACAUGCCGUGUACGUUAACGCAUAACAUGACUGCUGAUUGCUUGCAAAACGUUAACUUCCGUACGUGACUGUGGACAUCGUUAGGCAACACUUUCUUCUGGGACAUAUUUGCAUAUUAAAGAAACAAAACGCCACACUGCACACAGAAACACGGUACUAAGACGGAUUUGAAUAGAACAUAUCGCUUUGCACAAGAAAUUUACACACAUUUGAAGGGAUUUACAAAUCACAAAUCCUGCUGCUUAAACGCCAGCUAAAAGCAUUACACGGGCAAUGGAGCUCUAUACACGAAAGAUGCGUCUGAACCCUCCCGGCAGUGACGUUCCGUUUAAUGGACAGCGUUUGAGCAGGUUUAUGGACAUGGAUGACGACAUGAAGCGAGUUAAGUCAAAGAAACAUUGAUCGACAAUGGUCUGACUUAUCGGCCAGAUAGCUGCCGUUACCUGCUUCUGUUCGCUAUGCCAUAUUAACAAUCCCGAAUCCUAACAAUGCUGUUGAAUGGAACACGGUUUCAUUCAUCCUCGCAACUGAAACUGGGUACUGGAUGGAGAAUACAAUCGUUAGUUAGACGCGUCUUUCAGUGAUAUUAGACUACGCUUAAAGCCUCUAUUCUACGCACUGCUGAUCGUGAAUGUGUAAUAUAUACUGAACAGUUCGUUGUAUAUUGUGUGUUAAAAAAGAAUAUUUGAAAGCAACUGUUUUCUGCGAUACAAUACCUAGAAGCGACCGACAACAUUUUGGACUAACUCGGAUCUAAGAAGUGCUCGAUUUCAUAUAUAAUUCACACCUGUUAGUUGAAUUGUAAGUGGGAGGGAAGUAAGGAAUGUAAU